rnacentral:misc_RNA from 1 species
CGACUGCCGACAUUACCACCGUCAAUUUUUAUUUUUUAAUUACAACUAGGGGCCGUGCGGCUCUCUGAGAAAGCAAUUGCUUAAUUUUUCUUAAUUAUAUAUUACUUGCCUUAAAUGGAGGUGGUUGGCAUAUUCCUGUCACUGAACUACUUCUUCUUCUUCUUUCUCUCUUUUUUAUUUAUUUUUUUUUCCAUUAAACAAUAUAUUGUUAAUAUGCAAACCAUUCUUCAAAAUCAAGCAGCAAUUCGUUCAGCCAUGGAGCGUAAUAUUUAGCUCUUUUUUGAUUCCUCACCAAGAAGCUCAAAAAUGGUGAAAACUUAAUCAAACUCUAGACAGACAUCAAGAAUCAUGGUGGAAAGCUAUAAAAAUACCUUCAACUUUCAUCAUUCAUUGAAGGAUUUCAGAAAUCAAAUAGAAGUCAUCGUUCAUAUCUGUAAAAUAUUUUGUAAAAGAUUUCAAUUUCGUUUUCACCUGCUGCAAAACACAAUUACAUCUGUACUGCAAAUAUCAUUAACGAUAAAGUGUUCUAAGAUAACCUCCUAGAAUGAAAUCAAUAACAGUCAAAGAUGGUAGGUACCAUCACCAUGCUCUUCAUUCAUGUGAAGAUGCAGAAAUACUUCUACAGAGAGAGGUGUUUCAAUAAGACAAUUAGCUUUGUUUAAAAAGAAUCCGCAAGUACGAACACACCAAAUGGAGACCAGUAAGAAAAGGGUGUUCAACCUUAUGCUUCACCUUAAAUGCUUACCACUCAUGCGCUUCACCUUUGAUUUUUCAAUAGAAGCCACCUUCUGAAGUCUAAUCUGCUCCCUGAACUUGGCUAUGAACUCACCAGCCUUCUUAUCAACCUCAUUAGGGUCACCUCCUGCAUCACUCACAAAGUCAGUCACACUACCUUCAUCUGAGCUUGCCGGAGUGCUGUCAGUCUUACUCUCCAAGUCAGUUUCAGAUUCCACAGCAACAUUCCCCAAACCUUCUUCCUUUUCUUUCUUCAGAUAUUUUGCAUAUGUUGGCAUUGGCACAUCGUAGUGAGUAUCAAGAUUCUUCUUGUUAAUGCCACCUGACAUAUUAUCCAUUCCUUCCCUUUUCAUUUCGUUUUUCCCUGUAUUUACUGCUUUUGCUACAUCAGAACCUUCUCCAGCCUUAUCAUCGAUGUGGGUUUUGAUCAUCUCUCCAAACUUUAUUGACUCUGGAGUAUAUACACCACUUCUAAUAGUCCUAACUGAUUUUCCCUUCGAUGUAGGUUUAGCGACCGUUGCAGUUGCAAGUUUCCUAUCCAAUUUCAAAGCACCCUGCCCCCUCUCUUUACUAGCCAGUGAAUCUUCUUUUCUGCCACUCAGAUCCUUUAACUUAUCUUUUGAGGUUCCGCGCAAAUCCUUUUGGAACAAGGAGCCACUACUGUAUCUCCUUAAAUGAAAUGCAUUCAGUCGAGCCUCGCGAUUCACUGUUGUUAGUGGUGAUUGUGAAGCAGGAGGAUAUGAUGCACGGAAAUCCUUCUUUUUCCCCGAUUCUUCUGUUCCUGAAUUUGGCGAAUCAGAAGGCACAGAGUCUGAAGGAGAGAGCCUGGUUGGUGAAUUUGACAUUGAACUAGCUUGGGACGAGAAAGAAGUUGCAGACCUGAAAGAUUGCGAUUUGAGAGAUUCAAACUGAGUUUCAUCUACUGAGAGAGGCCUAAAAUGAGAAGGACGACCAGUAACAGGACCUACUUUCUCCCACAUAUCUCCCCUUCCAGAUCUAGAACGCCAUGGAACUUGAGAGGGUGUGGAAAAACUUUCAGUAAAUUUCUCCUCCAGGUUUGAGGGGCCCAUAUCACCCAUCCGUUCCUCGUCCAUACUCCUUCCAGAACUACUGGGAGAACCAAUCAAGCUUGAACUAGACUCGCUUCCAUUACUAAAUUGAGCACUACCUGGGUUUCUAAUCUUUGAUUUUAAACUCCUAACUGGCAAUCCUAACGGUUUGUAACCAACUACUUGCCCAGGUUUCUCCCAUUCACCAAUUGCAUAAUUUGGUUGGGACAAAACAAUCACUGAUUCACCCUGGAAAUACUGAGAAUUCCAAGUCUGAACAACACUAUCCUGAUCUUGCUCAUGUGAAACCUCAGUUUCAUUUUCAAAAUUGAUCGAUCCAGUUUUGCUCUCUCCACCGAUAACAGAGCUACCAUUAGUAACAGUAACCGUAGACUCACCCCUAUAAAACUGAGAAUUCCAAGAUUGAUACAAAUUUUUCUCAUCGAAGCCACAUGGAUUUUCAUACCCAUCCUCAAAAAUCGGGGAAACAUGAAAAAUCCUAGACACAAAAGAUGAUUGUGCAUCGUCAUAGUUAUUGGAGUGGGUUUCAAAGUCCACUUCAACAUUUCUGCGGCUAAACAAGCCAUAGGAGACAGCAACGCCGAUGAAGAGUAAGUGAACAAGCUCCCAGAACUUGGUAAAUAUGGACUGGCUGAUAAAGUUAGGAGCUUGAGAAGGGAAGAGAGGAAUAGCAAUAAGAAAGAGGAGAAAGAAAAGAGACUUACAGAAGAUGUGAGUGUAGGAUUUGUGUCUGGUGACGGGGGAGUGAUUUGCUUCAAACUCCUGAGGUGAGAGAUGGGGCUUAGUGUAAGAUCUUGAAUCUGCCAUUGAUAGAACUGUGUUAGAGCUUCCUGAUAGGCUAGUUUGUGUGUGUUAAAUGGUUGGGGAGGGGAGGGGAGGGUAGGCGAGGUGAGAAGGUGAAGAAAGAAAGGAAGACUUUGAGGGCAAGGAAAAUUAGAUUGAAGAAUGGAAAGGCAUGAGGGAGAGGAGGAAAAAUUCAAAAGGGUCGUAAUUAUGACCGUUGGUUUAAAAGACAGAAUUGUCCUCGCUUUUUGUCCACUUAGCAAGGUGAUUUAGGUUUUUCCGUUUGCAAAUGGAUAUAAAUUUUGCAUAAUAAAAAUGAAGGUCGUACUCGUGACUUGCUUGUUUUUGC